ensembl:lncRNA
GUUAAUUUUGUUNNNNNNNNNNUCUAUAUAUCAUAGUAUUAGAGGGAAGUCAAGAGACAGUUUGGCAUUUCUGGAGGAACAGUCUGUGUUGGUGCUUUCUUCAAGAUAUUUAGGAUAAGGUUGGGAAUCUACAGAGUUCCAGUAUUCCCCAAAUGGUCUUAUUUAGGACAAAGUCUGAUUAAUGCCCUCCUGAUCUGAAGCUGGAUGGCAACUGGGAUUGGAAAGUGACCUGGUCCUUCUCUGGUCAUCUAAGUGCAAUGUGCUAAUAGAGGAAGCUACUAAAUGUGAAGCUCAGCUCCCACUCUAACUCCAAAACUCAAGGAGACCCUGUUAAGAGGCACCAGUACUGCAUAGAAGAAAAGAAGCUGCUGAUUCAUAAUGAAUGGAUCUCUGGGUAGUGGAGAAGAAAUAUAUUUGGAAAUGAAGCUCGCACUGAUGCCUGUCCUUGCUGGAGCCUGCCAGGGGUCUUUUGAAGUCGUCUGUAUCAUUGGGUCUGAGGAGGGAAAGCGAGCCACAUCUAAUCUGCCGCCAUGCUUACCCAGAAGUCCUCCUGACUCUCCAGGGUGUAAAGAGAAGAUUAUAGCACAAGAUGGCUUUUGCAAGAAGAAGCAAGAGACGGAAAUUUGAAGGAACUGUCAAUCAACCAAAAGGAAGGAAGAUUCCAAUAGAAUCUGAUGAGAAGGCAGUUGGGAAAACCAGAAACUAAACUGGGAGACUUUCUUCCUGCUGACUGGGAGGAAAGAGGCUGAGAAAUAGGCUUGCUCUAGAUUCCUGGCUACUCAUUGACUUAAUAUAGAAAAGACUGGAGCUUAGCUCUGAAGAACCAUUUCAAUUCAUCAGCAAUAUCCCCUUAUAGACAAAAUAAUUUUAUUUCCCUGUAUUGAACCCUGUAGGAGAUUAGGGAGACCUUAAUUUCCCUCUUCCCUCUCCCACCUCCCUUAAUUCCCUUGAACUCAGUAUAAAACCCCUUUCAGAAAAGAGUUAUAUUGUGAGAUUAAUCCUUAAGAAACUUCUGAUAGCUUACCCUUUGAGAAAAGCCAUUAAGAUCAACUGGGAGAGACACAGGAAGUGGAGUGGGGGAAAGGAGUGCAAACCUUAGCCUUUUCUCUAACUUAUUUCCUGGUGUAAUUGCUCCAACACCUACCUGCUACCAUAAAUAGAAGCAUCUAUUGCAAGGGAUGAGCACAUUUCCAAGAUCCCCCCAACCCCACUCAUUAUCUGGACAUACUGGUUGAUAAACUUUUUAUUUACUUCAUAAGUCAUAUCCUAUUGCAAAUGCUAGCUUAUGAGAAGAGGAGGAAGUAGCUAUAUUUACUGCACCAACAAGACUUUUCCCUUAUUAAAUAUAAUUACAGGAUUUCUAUUAAUCUUGCUAUAAUCCUGUUAAUCAUUAAUUAAGCACUGUCCCAGAUUAAUAAUUUAUUGUGGCUAAAUAGUGAUUAAUUAUGAUGAAUGGGGUCUUAUUUAAAAAGAAUCACAGGGUCAAGGAUUCUCAUUCUCUUCAAAAAAAAAGAGAACAGCAGAGAAUGAUGUGUCUGUAACAUACCUUAUUUUCUUCAAAUCUUUUGCAUUUCAAUAAUUUUUAAAAAAUGUUCUUCAUAUAAAAGUAUAUUGCUUUCCUUUCCUU